rnacentral:rRNA from 1 species
UAAGUACACGCGGCCGGUACAGUGAAACUGCGAAUGGCUCAUUAAAUCAGUUAUGGUUCCUUUGAUCGCUCAUCCGUUACUUGGAUAACUGUGGCAAUUCUAGAGCUAAUACAUGCAAACGAGCGCUGACCCUCCGGGUAUGCGUGCAUUUAUCAGACCCAAAACCCAUGCGGGGCGUCCUCUCGGGGGCGCCCCGGCCGCUUUGGUGACUCUAGAUAACCUCGAGCCGAUCGCUGGCCCUCCGUGGCGGCGACGUCUCAUUCGAAUGUCUGCCCUAUCAACUUUCGAUGGUACUUUAUGUGCCUACCAUGGUGACCACGGGUAACGGGGAAUCAGGGUUCGAUUCCGGAGAGGGAGCCUGAGAAACGGCUACCACAUCCAAGGAAGGCAGCAGGCGCGCAAAUUACCCACUCCCGACUCGGGGAGGUAGUGAC